rnacentral:rRNA from 1 species
GGGUUGUGAGGUUAAGCGACUAAGCGUACACGGUGGAUGCCCUGGCAGUCAGAGGCGAUGAAGGACGUGCUAAUCUGCGAUAAGCGUCGGUAAGGUGAUAUGAACCGUUAUAACCGGCGAUUUCCGAAUGGGGAAACCCAGUGUGAUUCGUCACACUAUCAUUAACUGAAUCCAUAGGUUAAUGAGGCGAACCGGGGGAACUGAAACAUCUAAGUACCCCGAGGAAAAGAAAUCAACCGAGAUUCCCCCAGUAGCGGCGAGCGAACGGGGAGCAGCCCAGAGCCUGAAUCAGUGUGUGUGUUAGUGGAAGCGUCUGGAAAGGCGCGCGAUACAGGGUGACAGCCCCGUACACAAAAAUGCACAUGCUGUGAGCUCGAUGAGUAGGGCGGGACACGUGGUAUCCUGUCUGAAUAUGGGGGGACCAUCCUCCAAGGCUAAAUACUCCUGACUGACCGAUAGUGAACCAGUACCGUGAGGGAAAGGCGAAAAGAACCCCGGCGAGGGGAGUGAAAAAGAACCUGAAACCGUGUACGUACAAGCAGUGGGAGCACGCUUAGGCGUGUGACUGCGUACCUUUUGUAUAAUGGGUCAGCGACUUAUAUUCUGUAGCAAGGUUAACCGAAUAGGGGAGCCGAAGGGAAACCGAGUCUUAACUGGGCGUUAAGUUGCAGGGUAUAGACCCGAAACCCGGUGAUCUAGCCAUGGGCAGGUUGAAGGUUGGGUAACACUAACUGGAGGACCGAACCGACUAAUGUUGAAAAAUUAGCGGAUGACUUGUGGCUGGGGGUGAAAGGCCAAUCAAACCGGGAGAUAGCUGGUUCUCCCCGAAAGCUAUUUAGGUAGCGCCUCGUGAAUUCAUCUCCGGGGGUAGAGCACUGUUUCGGCAAGGGGGUCAUCCCGACUUACCAACCCGAUGCAAACUGCGAAUACCGGAGAAUGUUAUCACGGGAGACACACGGCGGGUGCUAACGUCCGUCGUGAAGAGGGAAACAACCCAGACCGCCAGCUAAGGUCCCAAAGUCAUGGUUAAGUGGGAAACGAUGUGGGAAGGCCCAGACAGCCAGGAUGUUGGCUUAGAAGCAGCCAUCAUUUAAAGAAAGCGUAAUAGCUCACUGGUCGAGUCGGCCUGCGCGGAAGAUGUAACGGGGCUAAACCAUGCACCGAAGCUGCGGCAGCGACGCUUAUGCGUUGUUGGGUAGGGGAGCGUUCUGUAAGCCUGUGAAGGUGUACUGUGAGG